rnacentral:piRNA from 1 species
UGGCCUCGAACACACUCUGUCGACCAGGC